rnacentral:rRNA from 1 species
UACAGAGGUCCCAAGCGUUGUUCGGAUUCACUGGGCGUAAAGGGUGCGUAGGCGGUCGGGUAAGUCUGGCGUGAAAUCUCCAAGCCUAACUUGGAAACUGCGUUGGAUACUAUCCGGCUCGAGGAAUGGAGGGGAGACUGGAAUACUUGGUGUAGCAGUGAAAUGCGUAGAUAUCAAGUGGAACACCAGUGGCGAAGGCGGCAUCCUGGACCAACACUGACGCUGAGGAGCGAAAGCCAGGGGAGCAAACGGG